rnacentral:lncRNA from 1 species
AAAGGUUGAACACACUCAAAAAACAAAAGGGUGCACAAACAUAGACUCAAAAAAAGAAAAGGGUGCACAAACAUAGACUCAAAAAAAAAGAAAAGGGUGCCCGGAGAGAUCUCGCUCAAUCUCCUGCCUACGUAUCUCAUCUGGUAUGAGAAUCAGGGCGACGUAGUUCCCCUUAACAGGGGUACAACUCUCUCCUAACCAGAGACUAGGGAAAC